rnacentral:rRNA from 1 species
AGCAGCCGCGGUAAUUCCAGCUCCAAUAGCGUAUAUUAAAGUUGUUGCAGUUAAAAAGCUCGUAGUUGAAUUUCGGGGUCAGUAGGCUGGUCGUGCCACGGGUAUGUACUGGUCUUACUGAUUCCUCCUUCCUGAUGAACCGUAAUGCCAUUAAUUUGGUGUUGCGGGGAAUCUGGACUGUUACUUUGAAAAAAUUAGAGUGUUUAAAGCAGGCUAACGCUUGAAUACAUUAGCAUGGAAUAAUGAAAUAGGACGAUCGAUCCUAUUUUGUUGGUUUCUAGGAUUGACGUAAUGAUUAAUAGGGAUAGUUGGGGGCAUUAGUAUUCAAUUGUCAGAGGUGAAAUUCUUGGAUUUAUUGAAGACUAACUACUGCGAAAGCAUUUGCCAAGGAUGUUUUCAUUAAUCAAGAACGAAAGUUAGGGGAUCGAAGACGAUCAGAUACCGUCGUAGUCUUAACCAUAAACUAUGCCGACUAGGGAUCGGAUGAUGUUAAUUUUUAAUGACUCAUUCGGCGCCUUAA